GUAGGGAAUAUUGCGCAAUGGAGGCAACUCUGACGCAGCCAUGCCGCGUGCAGGAAGAAGGCGCUACGCGUUGUAAACUGCUUUUAACCGGGAAGAAACCCCAGGACGUGUCCUGGGUUGACGGUACCGGAGGAAUAAGCACCGGCUAACUUCGUGCCAGCAGCCGCGGUAAUACGAAGGGUGCAAGCGUUAUCCGGAUUCAUUGGGUUUAAAGGGUGCGUAGGCGGAGCGUUAAGUCAGUGGUGAAAUCCUGCAGCUUAACUGUAGACUUGCCAUUGAUACUGGCGCUCUUGAGUGCGCUUGAAGUGGGCGGAAUGUGCCGUGUAGCGGUGAAAUGCUUAGAUAUGGCACAGAACACCAAUUGCGAAGGCAGCUCACUAAGGCGAUACUGACGCUGAGGCACGAAAGCGUGGGGAUCGAACAGGAUUAGAUACCCUGGUAGUCCU
rnacentral:rRNA from 1 species